rnacentral:rRNA from 1 species
GACGAACGCUGGCGGCGUGCUUAACACAUGCAAGUCGAACGGAAAGGCCCUGCUUUUGUGGUGUGCUCGAGUGGCGAACGGGUGAGUAACACGUGAGUAACCUGCCCUUGACUUUGGGAUAACUUCAGGAAACUGGGGUUAAUACCGGAUAGGAUCUCCUGCUGCAUGGUGGGGGUUGGAUAUUUUCGGCGGUUGGGGAUGGACUCGCGGCUUAUCAGCUUGUUGGUGGGGUAGUGGCUUACCAAGGCUUUGACGGGUAGCCGGCCUGAGAGGGUGACCGGCCACAUUGGGACUGAGAUACGGCCCAGACUCCUACGGGAGGCAGCAGUGGGGAAUAUUGCACAAUGGGCGGAAGCCUGAUGCAGCAACGCCGCGUGCGGGAUGACGGCCUUCGGGUUGUAAACCGCUUUCGCCUGUGACGAAGCGUGAGUGACGGUAAUGGGUAAAGAAGCACCGGCUAACUACGUG